CCUCUGUCCUUCAGUUCUAUCCUGUCACCCUCUUUUCUAGGAGAUCCAUAUUGUUAGUGUGUCUGAGUGUAUAACACAGCCCCUUUCCACCGGAUUAUAAAGGAUUAUACAGAUUACACAGCUAGUAUUAUUAUUAAAUUAUUAGUAAAACACAAAAAUUGUCUCAGAAUGGCCUUGCCCCUGGCCACGCUCCCACUCGCACCCCUUAACUUAGUGAUUUGCUUUUAGAG